rnacentral:lncRNA from 1 species
AGCCAAUAUCUUUCUCAACUCCCUGGGGAGCAUACAGCCGGUGCUGCCAUUUCGGCGCUCACAGCUAGCAUUCAAUAAUACUAGCCCUGCCCAACCGCGUACUCAUUUGCAAUUUCCUAAAUCAUUACUUAUUCUUAUAAUAUAAUCUGUGGUAGAAUACUCAAACUAUAGUAGUUUUAAUCACCAUUACUCUUUCUCUCUGUGAAAUACUGCUUCAACAUCAAUUUCAUCAUCAAACUUUUCCAACAUCACAAUUGUACAGUUGAAAUGAAGCUCAUAAAAAAGUAACAGGCACCUUGACACAUGAACAUGACUGUUGAAAACACUACACCUAAAUAAAAAAAAGUUUAAGACUUAUUAGAAACAGAAAAUUCAAGCACCAAAUUUACUUAGCCUCUUAAAACUGACAAUGUGCUAUAUACAUGUACAUGUUUGUGGUAAGUGCUGACGUGUACAUACAUUGUAAGUAUUGUAUUUUUUGGUAUGGUUAUUAUAUAUGGUAUAUUUGAUAAACAUUCUACAUAUUUAUGGUUAAAUAAUAAUUGACAUGCAAGUAAAUAUAUUAAGAAAUAUUUAUAUCUUUUAAAAAUAUAUGAAUGAGAUAUAUUUACCUCAAUCAAAAAGAGAAUAGGAACCAGAGUGGUACAAAAUUGUAUUUUCACAUAGCAGUGUUUAAUCCUUCGCGGAAUAUACAAAGUUAUCUAUAAGGAAUCUGGAUACCUUUGGUUGACUAUCCAGUACCUGGUAUAUUACUCUUUAAGGAGGUAUGCUAUGCUUACACUAUAUCCGAUUUAUAUUAGAGUUACCUCCCCUUUUUAUUAGCAUGUACCUGGGUGAUAUCAAUCUAUACUUUUUUUGUACCUUUGAAAUUUGCCAUCAUCUGACAGGUCUAAAGUUACUGUUCGUAGGAAAGUCUUGGAGCGGAACUUUUUUUAAAAAGGAGGCUAAAUGUCACAGUGAGAUAGCAUUUUUAACAUCCUUAAGAUAAGUUAAUGCCUGUAUGUGGUUUCGUUUGUCAGUGUUUUGUGCUGGAGACGUUAACAAACACUAACGUCAUCUACUUUCGAAAAAUCCGGUUUCUUAUCUUUCAUACUUUGUCAUACUUGAGCUUUAAAUACAAGAAUGCCAACUCCAAGCAAAGUUUAUAAGAAAAGGAUCGAAAUGCAAAUUAUAAAUAUAUUUGGUAAAGCCUGCUUAUUUGGUAACACAAACAACAGCUAGGUUCUUCAUACCAUGAAAUCACAGUGACAUGUGAUCUAGCUGCUUACAGCUGUAAGACAUGUUUCUUGUGUAAGUUAAUUAUAAUCACACAGGGACAUGGAGAGACAGCUCUGCUGUGUUACAUGUUUCUUGUGUAAGUUAAUUAUAAUCACACAGGUACAUGGAGAGACAGCUCAGCUGUGUUACAUGUUUCUUGUGUAAGUUAAUUAUAAUCACAAAGGGACCCAGAGAGACAGCUCAGCUGUGUUACAUGUGUCUUGUGUAAGUUAAUUAUAAUCACACAGGUACAUGGAGAGACAGCUCAGCUGUGUUACAUAUUUCUUGUGUAAGUUAAUUAUAAUCACCCAGGGACACGGAGAGACAGCUCAGCUGUGUUACAUGUUUCUUGUGUAAGUUAAUUAUAAUCACACAUGGACACAGAGAGACAGCUCAGCUGUGUUACAUGUUUCUUGUGUAAGUUAAUUAUAAUCACACAUGGACACAGAGAGACAGCUCAGCUGUGUUACAUAUUUCUUGUGUAAGUUAAUUAUAAUCACACAGAGACAUGGAGAGACAGCUAAGCUGUGUUACAUGUUUCUUGUGUAAGUUAAUUAUAAUCACACAGUGACACAGAGAGACAGCUCAGCUGUUUUACAUGUUUCUUGUGCAAGUUAAUCACACAAGGACACAGAGAGACAGCGGCUUAUAGCUGUACACAGUUUACCGAGUAUUUAAAUGAUAAUGCCAACAAUUACUCAUUUUUGUUUUUGGGGUACAACAUUCUGAUUAAUAAUCCUCUAAAACAGCCUGGAACAAAUUAAAGAGAUUAUCUACCAACAAUGCGCACCAUAUGGCCUAUAGGACGCACACAUGUACAUAGACUAGUACUUGUCCAACUUUGACCUUGAAUCACAAACAAGACCAGUAGGUCAGUGAUACCUUAUCCAGGUAAAUCUAACGACCUGUCUAUGUCACUGGGAUAUCCCUUUUGAUACCAGGCUACUUAGCUACAUUUACUGUAUAGCAUAUGUACCUCUGAGAAACGUAUCUGGUGUUUACCUCUGUAGACAGCUACUCCAUUCUGACCUCUGUCUACAGCAGUAUUUCUGAUAGGCACAGGACAACUGUUGACUUAUUUUGUCUGAUAUGUCACAUGAAGAUUUUAUGAAAAUCGUGACACAGAUUUACUUGAUAUUCAAUCAAAUUUUCAUUUCAAGGAGAAAAUGUCCUGGGUUCAUUGAGCGCAAGCUUGUCUGGUACUGUAAUUGCUACUUGGUACAUUGUACUUUUAACACUGCUGGUUUUAAGACAAGUACAAUUAUUUACCAUGGCAGGUAUCAGACAGCUGUUCACAUGUAAAGAAAUCAAUACACAUGUUCUUAACUUGUAUAAUGUUUACAAGCUAUUCUUACAACAUGUGGUAUAAAUUGGAGGACUUAUAAAUCAACCCUUCCUCUGUAGUUCAAAUUGUAGACUGGCAAAGAAUCUGACUUAACCCAAUAAUCAGUCAAUGAGCAUUAUUUUCUUGCCAGUGUGAAAAUCAUGAAAACCCAAGAUCAAUUUCUCUAUUUCUUACUCACCGGCCGUGUGUCAUGAUUUUACCCAGUUUCAAGGAAUCGGUGAGACUGAUAUUUCUCUUACCCUGGACAGGUGUAUUCACACUUUCCCCAGUGUGAGAUAUCCUCGUCUCCCCCCAGUAUCGAGACGAGGGGAUUUCCCAGUUAGAACAAUUGUAUGACAUCAUGUCAAUGAUGUCAUGCUGCUGAGGUCACAUCUACACAACAUACAGGAAAAGGUCAACGGGGUCAGAGAAAAAGAAUAAUUGCCUCCAGCAGGAGCGAGAUAGGGGAAUUCAACCCUCAAGGGUUGAUACCCCCCCCCAAGAUUCUAUCAUUACCAUUAUCAAACUUAUGCAGGUACCAUGUAUCGUACAAAGUACCUGACAUAAAUUUAUGUUAAUUUAUAUACCUGUAUGUAUCAUCAAUACUUUUAUAUGUAUCUCCUUUUAUUCAGGUACGACCUAAAAAGUGUGCUCCUGUCUUGGGAUAAUAAAAUACAGGUACUUCCUAAAAUGCAUGUUUCGGUACCUGUCUUGGGAUAAUAAAAUACAGGUACUUCCUAAAAUACAUGUUUCGGUACCUGUCUCGGUAUAAUAAAAUACAUGUACUUCCUAAAAAAAAUGUUUCGGUACCUGUCUCGGGAUAAUAAAAUACAGGUACUUCCUAAAAUACAUGUUUCGGUACCUGUCUCGGCAUAAUAAAAUACAUGUACUUCCU